AUUGAACGCUGGCGGCAUGCCUUACACAUGCAAGUCGAACGGUAACGGGUCCUUCGGGAUGCCGACGAGUGGCGAACGGGCGAGUAAUAUAUCGGAACGUGCCCAGUAGUGGGGGAUAACUGCUCGAAAGAGCAGCUAAUACCGCAUACGACCCGAGGGUGAACGGGGGGGAUCGCACGACCUCUCGCUAUUGGAGCGGCCGAGAUCGGAUUAGCUAGUUGGUGGGGUAAAGGCCUACCAAGGCAACGAUCUGUAGUUGGCCUGAGAGGACGACCAGCCACACUGGGACUGAGACACGGCCCAGACUCCUACGGGAGGCAGCAGUGGGGAAUUUUGGACAAUGGGCGCAAGCCUGAUCCAGCAAUGCCGCGUGCAGGAAGAAGGCCUUCGGGUUGUAAACUGCUUUUGGCAGGGAAGAAAUCGUCUGGGCUAAUACCCCGGGAGGAUGACGGUACCUGAAGAAUAAGCACCGGCUAACUACGUGCCAGCCGCCGCGGUAA
rnacentral:rRNA from 1 species